UACGAAGGGGCUAGCGGUUCUCGGAAUCACUGGGCGUUAAGCGCACGUAGGCGGUUUCUUAAGUCGGGGGUGAAAUCCCCGGGCUCAACCCGGGAACUGCGUCCGAUACUGGAAGGCUUGAAUCCGGGAGAGGGAUGCGGAAUUCCAGGUGUAGCGGUGAAAUGCGUAGAUAUCUGGAGGAACACCGGUGGCGAAGGCGGCAUCCUGGACCGGCAUUGACGCUGAGGCGCGAAAGCCAGGGGAGCAAACGGG
rnacentral:rRNA from 1 species